UACGUAGGGUGCGAGCGUUAAUCGGAAUUACUGGGCGUAAAGCGUGCGCAGGCGGUUUUGUAAGUCUGUCGUGAAAUCCCCGGGCUCAACCUGGGAAUUGCGAUGGAGACUGCAAGGCUAGAAUCUGGCAGAGGGGGGUAGAAUUCCGACGUGUGAGCAGUGAAAUGCGUAGAGAUGUGGAGGAACACCGAUGGCGAAGGCAGCCCCCUGGGUCAAGAUUGACGCUCAUGCACGAAAGCGUGGGGAGCAACAGGG
rnacentral:rRNA from 1 species